rnacentral:rRNA from 1 species
UACGAAGGGGGCUAGCGUUGCUCGGAAUUACUGGGCGUAAAGGGAGCGUAGGCGGACAUUUAAGUCAGAGGUGAAAUCCCGGAGCUUAACUUCGGAACUGCCUUUGAUACUGGAUGUCUUGAGUGUGAGAGAGGUAUGUGGAACUCCGAGUGUAGAGGUGAAAUUCGUAGAUAUUCGGAAGAACACCAGUGGCGAAGGCGACAUACUGGCUCAUUACUGACGCUGAGGUGCGAAAGCGUGGGGAGCAAACGGG